AAGAUAACGAUUUCGUUGUAUUAAUGAGAGCUUGCUAUUUCCAGUUUGACUGCAUCGAAAGAAUAAAUAAGAUUAAGUGUAUUAAUUAUUAAAUACACAUUUAAGUGUUGAUACGCGUUAAGUGCACAAGUAUUAAUACGCGAUUAAGAACACGUUUAAGUGUUACGCAACUGAAUAUAAGAACACGAUUAAAAUUUAUUUUCAACAGAACUUUGUUGAGUGAAAUUAUUGGCUAUGUUGAUAACAUCGAAUCUCCACGUUGCGUGGGCUCGCAACAACAAUAUAAGUUCUUCAAAUUUUAUUUAAAUAACGGAAAAGGAAAAAGGGUUCAAAUUGUUGCCUGGAAUGAUGACAUUGAUUUUGUGGAACAUCAUAUAAAAGUAAACACUAUUAUUCAUUUGGAUGGUACUCAGGCACGUCCGCCAAAAAUACCUCAAUUCAACAAUGGUAAUAUGCCGUAUGAGCUAUUAAUAAAAUCAAAUACAAUAAUUUCAAAUCUUGGAAAAUUUGAACCAAUGGAAAUAGUAGAUACCACACCUAAGACAAUUGAAUUAUCUGAUGUAUUAAAUGCUACAAAAAAUCGCAUUAUAUUGAGAGGAUACGUAAAGACGAAUUUUGCUGAAGUAUAUAACAACAACAUGAACAAAAUUAUUGGAUGUGGUGCAAUAACUGAUGGCACAUUCAAACUGGAAAUUCAUGUAAUAAAUUUUAGUAACGAUGAUUAUACUUUACUUGAUAUUAGAAAAGGUGAUCAUGUAGAAAUUAUUGGUAUCAUGCAAACUACAGGAUCAGAAUAAGAGAAAUUCAACUUCCACGUCCA